rnacentral:rRNA from 1 species
GAGUUUGAUGUGGCUCAGAAUGAACGCUGGCGGCGUGCUUUACACAUGCAAGUCGAGCGAGGCGUGUAGCAAUACACAGUCGAGCGGCGAACGGGUGAGUAACGCGUGGAUUAUCUGCCCUGAGGUGGGGGAGUAACCGGGAAACGUCGGCUAAUACCGCAUGACACCGCGAGGUCAAAGGGGCGGCAAGCUCCCGCCGCAGGAGGAGUCCGCGUUCGAUUAGCUAGUUGGUAGGGUAAUGGCCUACCAAGGCGACGAUCGAUAGCCGGCCUGAGAGGGUGAUCGGCCACACUGGGACUGAGAUACGGCCCAGACUCCUACGGGAGGCAGCAGUAGGGAAUAUUGGACAAUGGGCGAAAGCCUGAUCCAGCAAUGCCGCGUGAGUGAAGAAGGCCUUAGGGUUGUAAAGCUCUUUCGGCGGGGAAGAUGAUGACGGUACCCGCAGAAGAAGCCCCGGCUAACUUCGUGCCAGCAGCCGCCGCCGUAAU